rnacentral:rRNA from 1 species
AACGAACGCUGGCGGCAUGCCUAAUACAUGCAAGUCGAACGAUCCCUUCGGGGAUAGUGGCGCACGGGUGCGUAACGCGUGGGAAUCUGCCCUUGGGUUCGGAAUAACGUUUGGAAACGAACGCUAAUACCGGAUGAUGACGAAAGUCCAAAGAUUUAUCGCCCAAGGAUGAGCCCGCGUAGGAUUAGCUAGUUGGUAAGGUAAAGGCUUACCAAGGCGACGAUCCUUAGCUGGUCUGAGAGGAUGAUCAGCCACACUGGGACUGAGACACGGCCCAGACUCCUACGGGAGGCAGCAGUAGGGAAUAUUGGACAAUGGGGGCAACCCUGAUCCAGCAAUGCCGCGUGAGUGAUGAAGGCCUUAGGGUUGUAAAGCUCUUUUACCCGGGAUGAUAAUGACAGUACCGGGAGAAUAAGCCCCGGCUAACUCCGUGCCAGCCGCCGCAGUAAAAC